AUGACUGAUAUUCUAGAGACUCAAGAAAACUUUUCUAUAAGCAUUGAUAAUGCCAGAAGAUGUGCAAGUCUGAAAACAGAGAGCAAAUGCAGGGACCAUGGCUUACGUGUCAGAGGGUCAGCGUUUGUUGUACGUGCCUAUUUCAUCCAGGUGUUCGCAGUGGGAUGUGAAUCGUGCCAGGAUGGAUGGUGUCACUAACCCCCCCUAACCUGGGAUGAUCUUUCGGGUGUUUGCACUGGUGAUGUUAUCAGAGCCAGGGGAAGAGACGUGGAACCCUGAGUUUAGAAUCAUAGAAGGUAAUAACAUUUUCCUUGUAUUUUUUGAAAGUUGUUUACUUGCACUAUUAAGGCUACACUUGCUUUUUUGAGAAAGUGUGUGGGGGGAGGGGUUGCACAUGUAAACAGCCUAUGCACUUAUAAGUCACGUAAAAGCAAAUAAUAUACUGUGUCCAAUUUCUGUACAUAAUAGAAAAAAAGACACGCAUUUCACCAUGCUCUAACCCUUCCAUGAGGCAGAAAUAUGAUCACAGUUCAAAAUCGCUUUCCAGGCAAAACUAUUGGAACAUAUGUCUGAGCUUUGUGCUUGAUAAUACCCAGCCAGUUUGAUACAGUUUGUAUUAAAGCAUACAUUAUUGCUGUCCACAUUUUGAAGCUUUAACACAUUUGUAACCAGUCUUUUCAACUAUUUCAGUAUAGAAUAGAGGGAAAUUUGGAAUCCAUAUCUACUCCUAUGUAGGUCAUGACAAUAUUCAUCCAGUGUCCUAAAUGAAGAAUUUGAAUCAGUGUGGCUAAUGAUAAUUGGUGGGUGCUUCUUACCUUGCAAUAUAUUCCAUCUAAAUCAAUUACAGUAAUUCCCCCUAAACUGUAUUCCUUUGUAAAAACUUUUUGACCAGCACUUGUUCCUGCUUACAAUGAAGAGAAAUUCUGUUNNNNNNNNNNNNNNNNNNNNNNNNUUGCUUGUGUACAACUCACAUAAAUAUUUUGGCAUCUUUUCUGUGCUGUAUGUAAAUAGGCUGUUAACAAUUAUCCUUCUGUGCGAUGUGCACUGGGAUCCAUCUGUGAAAAAGCCUAAGCAUUAGUGUUAUAACGAUAAAUAAAGUGCUGCUGUGAGGCCGUCA
rnacentral:lncRNA from 1 species